GAAAUCAAGUGAAAGACUACGGCGCCUAGGAACUUGUGGUCGGCAAGCAAAGCACGACUUGUGCGGUCGCCGCAUUAAAUUCUGGUUCUCCAUCCAACCAAUCCCGAUGAUGAUGAGUUGAGGGGCAGCACUGGAAUUCUCCGCCUCUACCAUUGUCGAUCCUUCCCUUCCUCUCAAGCAAUUAGUGCCCCGAGCCCCAUCCCGAACAGAUUGCGUAGCUCACUCAUUGCGGUCCCCUCCCGCUCCAUUUCCCCCCCCUUUUGUUUCUGUCCACCGGAUCAAGCGCGAGGUGAUCAAGCGAGGCGGCGGCUGAGAAGUUCCGAUGGCGAAAGAAGAAGAAAGCCGGGCAGAAAUCGUGGCCGAUGAUCCUGCGCCGGCUCGCCAGGUCCUGCUCAUCUCUGCCGGCGCCAGUCACUCCGUCGCGCUGCUCUCUGGUGACGUGAUCUGCUCCUGGGGCAGGGGUGAAGAUGGACAGUUGGGUCAUGGGGAUGCUGAAGACCGACUUCUUCCUACAAUACUAAGUGCUCUGGACAGCCGUGGCAUUGUGUCUGUAGUUUGUGGAGCUGAUCAUACAAUAGCCUAUUCCGAAUCAGAUGUGCAGGUUUAUAGUUGGGGAUGGGGUGACUUUGGAAGGUUAGGCCAUGGAAAUUCUAGUGAUGUUUUUACUCCACAACCAAUCAAGGCAUUACAGGGCCUCCAAAUUAGACAUAUUGCUUGUGGAGAUAGUCACUGCUUGGCUGUGACUAUGAAUGGGGAAGUGCAAAGUUGGGGACGGAACCAAAACGGGCAACUUGGUCUUGGCACAACAGAAGAUUCUCUUGUACCACAAAAGAUUCAAGCUUUUCAGGGGAUACAUGUUAAAAUGAUCGCUGCGGGUGCUGAGCAUACUGCUGCAGUUACAGAAAAUGGGGAUCUCUAUGGAUGGGGUUGGGGUCGUUAUGGAAAUUUAGGCCUUGGUGACCGUAACGAUCGCAUGCUUCCAGAAAAGGUUGCUUCCAUUGAGGAUGAAAAGAUGGUUCUUGUUGCAUGUGGAUGGCGUCACACUAUUACUGUCUCUUCUUCUGGAAAUUUGUACACCUACGGAUGGAGUAAAUAUGGUCAACUUGGACAUGGAGACUAUGAGGAUCAUCUCAGUCCACAUCUAUUGGAAGCCCUAAGAGACAACGACAUAUCUCAGGUUUCAGGUGGUUGGAGACAUACUAUGGCUCUUACAACUGAUGGAAGACUAUAUGGUUGGGGAUGGAAUAAGUUUGGCCAACUUGGUAUUGAUGAUAAUGAUGAUCGGUGCUCUCCAGUUCAAGUUAAACUUCCAGCAGAUCAGAAAUUGAAGCAAAUUUCCUGUGGUUGGAGGCACACGCUUGCUCUGACAGAAAGAGGAAAUGUUUUCUCUUGGGGCAGGGGUACAAGUGGACAACUUGGCCAUGGUGAUAUUCUUGACCGAAAUACUCCCAAGAUGUUAGAGGUUAUAAGCAAGGACGGCCUAGGUUGCAGCCAAAUGGAAUCCUCCAAUUCACUCUCUUCUUCAUCAGGCAAAGUCUGGGUUUCUCCAUCAGAAAGAUAUGCAAUUGUUCCCGGUGAAACUGCUGCAAAACUUUCUGCAGAUCCAAUCAGGGGUAAUGGGAGCGAUGCAAACGUUCCUGAGAAUGAUGUCAAGCGGAUGCGAGUCUAGCUCUUUAUUUACUCCAGUGUUUUAAAAGCUUGUGAAGACAUGCACCAUUCUACGCCUCUUUACCGUGGUUGGUUGCAGUGUAGUUGUUAUUCGGAUGAAGUUGGUAUCUUAUCACUUAUCGUCAUUGGGUCUACCUGAUUUCCCCAUCAGAUUGCAACAAAUCCCUACGGAAUUUCUGGUACAUCGUUCCCUGUUCCUCAAUCAUUUAUCUAGAAGUUCCACUCCGAUUUUAAGUGAAAUUAGGUUUAAUUAGUAAUACUAUUUACUAAAUUGAUCAGCUAGAACUCUUUUAAUUGUACAUACAGAUACAACAACGUGAUUGGUGUACAUUCUCUGGCAGAUUUAUUGCAGUUUUAUCAAUUGGAGCACUUGUUUUUGAUUUCCCA